GGAUGAACGCUGGCGGCGUGCCUACUCCAUGCAAGUCGAGCGAACGGACGAGAAGCUUGCUUCUCUGAUGUUAGCGGCGGACGGGUGAGUAACACGUGGAUAACCUACCUAUAAGACUGGGAUAACUUCGGGAAACCGGAGCUAAUACCGGAUAAUAUUUUGAACCGCAUGGUUCAAAAGUGAAAGACGGUCUUGCUGUCACUUAUAGAUGGAUCCGCGCUGCAUUAGCUAGUUGGUAAGGUAACGGCUUACCAAGGCAACGAUGCAUAGCCGACCUGAGAGGUUGAUCGGCCACACUGGAACUGAGACACGGUCCAGACUCCUACGGGAGGCAGCAGUAGGGAAUCUUCCGCAAUGGGCGAAAGCCUGACGGAGCAACGCCGCGUGAGUGAUGAAGGUCUUCGGAUCGUAAAACUCUGUUAUUAGGGAAGAACAUAUGUGUAAGUACCUGUGCACAUCUUGACGGUACCUAAUCAGAAAGCCACGGCUAACUACGUG
rnacentral:rRNA from 1 species